rnacentral:rRNA from 1 species
GACGAACGCUGGCGGCGUGCUUAACACAUGCAAGUCGAACGGAAAGGCCCUGCUUUUGUGGGGUGCUCGAGUGGCGAACGGGUGAGUAACACGUGAGUAACCUGCCCUUGACUUUGGGAUAACUUCAGGAAACUGGGGCUAAUACCGGAUAGGAGCUCCUGCUGCAUGGUGGGGGUUGGAAAGUUUCGGCGGUUGGGGAUGGACUCGCGGCUUAUCAGCUUGUUGGUGGGGUAGUGGCUUACCAAGGCUUUGACGGGUAGCCGGCCUGAGAGGGUGACCGGCCACAUUGGGACUGAGAUAAGGCCCAGACUCAUACGGGAGGCAGCAGUGGGGAAUAGUGCACAAUGGGCGGAAGCCUGAUGCAGCAACGCCGCGUGCGGGAUGACGGCCUUCGGGUUGUAAACCGCUUUCGCCUGUGACGAAGCGUGAGUGACGGUAAUGGGUAAAGAAGCACCGGCUAACUACGUG